rnacentral:rRNA from 1 species
CCUACGGGAGGCAGCAGUGGGGAAUAUUGGGCAAUGGGCGCAAGCCUGACCCAGCAACGCCGCGUGAAGGAAGAAGGCUUUCUGGUUGUUAACUUCUUUUUUCAGGGAAGUGGCAAGUGACGGUACCUGAUGAAUAAGCCACGGCUAACUACGUGCAAGCAGCCGCGGUAAUCCGGAGGUGGCAAGCGUUAUCCGGAUUUACUGGGUGUCAAGGGUGUGUAGGUGGGACUGUAAGUCAGAUGUGAAAGUCAGGGGCGCAACCUGAGACUUGCAUUUGAUACUGGAAGGCUUGAGUACUGGGGAGGUAGACGGAAUUCGUGGUGUAGCGGUGAAAUGCGUAGAUAUUACGAAGAACACCGAUGGCGAAGGCAGUCGACUGAACAGCAACUGACGCUGAGGCGCGAAAGCGUGGGGAGCAAACAGGAUUAGAUACCCCUGUAGUC